UUCAGGCUUCGCAUGUCUUUUGUUCCUUUGUUUACUUGCUGCACGUUGUGAGAAUAGUUUGUCCUUUUCUCUUAUCACUUGAGCCAUUAAUGCUGUGCGUCCUUGCGGAAAAAACACAGCAACAGGAAUUAAAGUACUUUCAGAGUUCAGAUUGUGUUUGAGAUUAAUCCUUAUCUCGAUAUUGGAAAGGGGAGUUUACAAACAAAGUUGUAUCACCGUGGAGUCAAUAGUGGCACCUCUCGUGGCCAGACAUCUGAUUGUGUCUACAGUCGUUUGGACUUUAUCUCACCUGCAUUUCUUACACCAGCCUGUCGUACCGAGACCAGCUCUCAUUUUUGGUUGUAGGAGGACUGAAAAGACACAAUCAAACUGUUAGACUACCAAAAUAGUAAGCCUGCUUAAUGAGAAACAUUUCCUUACAAGAAUGGACACAAAGAAGUAAUGAAAAAUGUUAGGAUAGUCAACCCACAAAACAAAGGUGUGGUUAUCAAAGUUCCUCAACGGAGGGGAAGCGGAGCCAAAAUGAAUGCCAACUUAGAGUUGUUCAUCUUCUUACAGAAUAUAAGAGAUCAAUGCGAAGGAGCAGGACUACCAGAGUAGAAGUGAAGUCAGAGAUCAUCUAUACUGUUGUUCUGUGCUGUAGGGGAAAAGAGGUGCAAGCAGCUAUUGACAGUGUUUCACCAUAAUCCUUCCCUGUAUUUCCUGCUGACUAGAGCCAGUGAAGCACUUGCAUGGCGUGCAAUGGUCAUCUAAUAACAUUUUUCCUAUAGAUACUUUUUAAAAGUGAUUUAGGUUUCUGCUUCAACUACACAACUCUUUUAGGACUACACUGAGAGCCAUCAAAUGAGGCCAGCCUUGGCUAGGAUUUGAACACUGAGAGCAAGAAUUAAACCUUGAAAUCAAAAAUAUCAAGUUUUGGCAUGUACAUUGGAUUCAGAAAGUACAGGAAUUGCUGACCUCAUUUGAAUUGGCGUUCUGCAAGGCACAUUUGGUGUGUCUUUUUCAUCGCACUUCCUGCUCCCUCCUGAAUAGGAAACAGAAACCAGUUCAUCCAGAGUUGUGGAAUUCUCAGUUUUAUUCCAAGUGGUUUCCCCUAUGGCUCUGUCUGCCGGGAAUACAAAGAGUAACAGAUUUUACAGUAUAUAUGCAAAAAUACUGCCCCAUUGAUACAAGAUUAGGACCCUUCCAGGCCCUCAUCCUUAACAUCUCCUUGAAGCUUACUGUGACUGUGCAGCUCUUCUUUCUACUAUAUUAUCAAAACUGUGGCUUUGAGACUGUCUCCCUAAACCUGAGCACUUUGACAACUUCCCAGCACUGAGUCCAGCUGCCAUAAAACCCUGGGUUCCCCAGAAGAAGGCGUCAUGUACUGGCCAGAAUAACCUGCCAGAUGGAGCAUCCACUAGAAAUGACAAAGCCUCAUUGUUUGUUCUGAUACUCACACGAAGGGACAAACACUUGUGAACAUCUCUUUUUUUUUUGUUUGUUUCUGUAAUUUCUUUAAUUUACUUUUCUGUUUCCAGACAAUAAACAGGGCAGCCUGGUUGGCACUCCAAAAUUUCCAUGCAGUUUCUGAGCUGUCACUAUCACACCUGGCCACAAUAUAUAUAUUGAUAUAGAUACAUACAUACCCCCAGAUUAUGAAAAACUGCUUAAGAUAAAUGUUUAUACAGAUAUUGCCAUUUGUAUUGUAUAUUGUAUGAUUUCACCAAUCUCAUUGCUGGAUUGGUCUACUUUCACAACUUAAGCUUAACACACACAUAGACACACACUCUCACAAAGAUCCGAUCCACAUACGUACAAUGCACGUAUGAAUAAUGCCAGCACUGACAUUUGGUCAUUAGUAUUCUACAUUGGAACUCCCUGUUUUCAUUGUGAACAGUGCACAGGUGUCCCCAGAUAUAACCCACACCUACUUUGAUCCCCAAAAGUCUCCAGCUUUAAGUUUCUGGGGGUCACCAUCACAGAGUUGACAAUACUUCAGUGGUAGUAGGCAAACCACAACGUCGCCUCUACUUUCUGAGAAGGCUAAGAGAAGCUAACCUCCCCCAGAAGAUGUUGAUCAACUUUUACAGAUAAACUAUAGAGAGCAUCUUGACUAACUGCAUAACAGCCUAGUACAACAGCUACAUUACAGCCGCAAAAAAGCCCUGCAACGUGUUGUAAAAACAGUACAGGACAUUGUUGGAACUGAACUGCUAUCACUAGAACAUCAAUACAAGACUUGUUGUGUCAGAAAGACCAAAAACAUUAUCCUGGACAUGACUUGUUUAAGCCCAUCCCAUCAGACAGAUGCUUCAGAUCAAGAGA